UACGUAGGUGGCUAGCGUUGUCCGGAUUUACUGGGCGUAAAGAGCGCGCAGGCGGUCGUUCAAGUCGAGUGUGAAAGCCCCCGGCUCAACUGGGGAGGGUCAUUCGAUACUGAUCGACUCGAAGGCAGGAGAGGGAAGCGGAAUUCCCGGUGUAGUGGUGAAAUGCGUAGAUAUCGGGAGGAACACCAGUGGCGAAGGCGGCUUUCUGGCCUGUUCUUGACGCUGAGGCGCGAAAGCUAGGGUAGCAAAACGGG
rnacentral:rRNA from 1 species